rnacentral:rRNA from 1 species
CGGAUUAGCGGCGGACGGGUGAGUAACACGUGAGUAACCUGCCUUAGACAUUGGGAUAGCCUCGGGAAACCGGGAUUAAUACCAAAUAAAAUAAUAAUGACACAUGUCAUAACGAUCAAAACUCCGGUGGUCUAAGAUGGACUCGCGUCCCAUUAGCUAGUUGGUAGAGUAAAAGCCUACCAAGGCGACGAUGGGUAGCCGGCCUGAGAGGGUGAACGGCCACAUUGGAACUGAGAAACGGUCCAA